AUAAUACUCCAUAGAUUAGAGACACUGGAAUGUUCUUUAGUCGAAAGUUCUGGCGCCUUAGGAUGGAUCUGCGGUCGAUUAGGUUGUUGUUGGGGUAACGGCCCAACAAGCCUGUAAUCGAUACGGGUUGUGGGAGCAAGAGCCCGGAGAUGGAAUCUGAGACACGAUUCCAGGCCCUACGGGGCGCAGCAGGCGCGAAAACUUUACAAUGCAGGAAACUGUGAUAAGGGAACUCCGAGUGCCCGUAUACGCGGGCUGUCCAGGUGUUUAAAAAUCAUCUGAAGAAAGGGCCGGGCAAGACCGGUGCCAGCCGCCGCGGUAAUACCGGCGGCUCGAGUGGUGGCCACUAUUAUUGGGCUUAAAGCGUCCGUAGCUGGACCGAUAAGUCUCUUGGGAAAUCCGCCGGCUCAACCGGCGGGCGUCUAAGGGAUACUGUUAGUCUAGGGACCGGGAGAGGUGAGAGGUACUCCGGGGGCAGGAGUGAAAUCCUGUAAUCCCCGGGGGACCACCGAUGGCGAAGGCAUCUCACCAGAACGGCUCCGACAGUGAGGGACGAAAGCUGGGGGAGCGAACCGGAUUAGAUACCCGGGUAGUCCCAGCCGUAAACUAUGCGCGUUAGGUGU
rnacentral:rRNA from 1 species